AUACGGAGGAUCCGAGCGUUAUCCGGAUUUAUUGGGCUUAAAGGGAGCGUAGGUGGCUUGUUAAGUCAGUUGUGAAAGUUUGCGGCUCAACCGUAAAAUUGCAGUUGAAACUGGCAGUCUUGAGUACAGUAGAGGGGGGUGGAGUUCGAGGUGUAGCGGUGAAAUGCUUAGAUAUGUCGAAGAAACCCGAUUGCGAAGGCAGCUCACUAGACUGUUACUGACACUGAUGCUCGAAAGGGUGGGAAUCAAACAGGAUUAGAUACCCUGGUAGUCCACACAGUAAACGAUGAAUACUCGCUGUUUGCGAUAUACAGUAAGCGGCCAAGCGAAAGCAUUAAGUAGUCCACCUGGGGAGUACGCCGGCAACGGUGAAACUCAAAUGAAUUGACGGGG
rnacentral:rRNA from 1 species